rnacentral:rRNA from 1 species
CGUGUAGGUGGCCAACUAAGUCAGACGUGAAAUCCCUCGGCUUAACCGGGGAACUGCGUCUGAUACUGGAUGGCUUGAGUGUGGGAGAGGGAUGCGGAAUUCCAGGUGUAGCGGUGAAAUGCGUAGAUAUCUGGAGGAACACCGGUGGCGAAGGCGGCAUCCUGGACCAUUACUGACACUGAAACGCGAAAGCCAGGGAGCAAACG